rnacentral:rRNA from 1 species
GACGAACGCUGGCGGCGUGCUUAACACAUGCAAGUCGAACGGAAAGGCCUCUUUCGGGGGGUACUCGAGUGGCGAACGGGUGAGUAACACGUGAGUAACCUGCCCUUGACUUUGGGAUAACUUCAGGAAACUGGGGCUAAUACCGGAUAGGACCUCCUGCUGCAGGGUGGGGGUUGGAAAGUUUCGGCGGUUGGGGAUGGACUCGCGGCUUAUCAGCUUGUUGGUGGGGUAGUGGCUUACCAAGGCUUUGACGGGUAGCCGGCCUGAGAGGGUGACCGGCCACAUUGGGACUGAGAUACGGCCCAGACUCCUACGGGAGGCAGCAGUGGGGAAUAUUGCACAAUGGGUGGAAGCCUGAUGCAGCAACGCCGUGUGCGGGAUGACGGCCUUCGGGUUGUAAACCGCUUUCGCUCAUGACGAAGCUUUGUGUGACGGUAGUGGGUAAAGAAGCACCGGCUAACUACGUG